UGAGUGAUAAUAUGGGAAUAGAGAUAGAGCAAAUCUAGUAUAUGGGCGAUGGUAGCAGAAUAGAGAGGAUAACUAUGGUUUCUCUACUUCAAAGGGGUAUGUCUAUGUCUGGGACGAACCACCAUAGGCCGAUAAACCCUACCCGUCCUGCUAACGAGAGGUGGACUACAGGGGACCAACGUAACUGUCACCUACGCGGCCUACCACACGAUCCAGCUAGUC
rnacentral:lncRNA from 1 species